UACGUAGGUCGCGAACGUUAUUCGGAAUCACUGGGCUUAAAGGGCGCGUAGGCGGCUUGUCAAGUCAGGGGUGAAAUCCAACGGCUCACCCGUUGAACUGCCCCUGAUACUGACGAGCUGGAGUGGCGGAGGGAUGCGUGGAACUUGUGGUGGAGCGGUGAAAUGCCCAGAUAUCACAGGGAACACCGGUGGCGAAGGCGACGCAUUGGCCGCUAACUGACGCUGAGGCGCGAAAGCAUGGGGAGCGAACGGG
rnacentral:rRNA from 1 species